UACGGAGGGUGCAAGCGUUAAUCGGAAUUACUGGGCGUAAAGCGUGCGCAGGCGGUUUGUUAAGUCCGUUGUGAAAGCCCCGAGCUCAACUUGGGAAUUGCAGUGGAUACUGGCAGGCUGGAGUACGGUAGAGGAAGGUGGAAUUCCCGGUGUAGCAGUGAAAUGCGUAGAUAUCUGGAGGAACACCGGUGGCGAAGGCGGCAUCCUGGACCGGCAUUGACGCUGAGGCGCGAAAGCCAGGGGAGCAAACGGG
rnacentral:rRNA from 1 species